rnacentral:rRNA from 1 species
AGAGUUUGAUCCUGGCUCAGAUUGAACGCUGGCGGCAGGCCUAACACAUGCAAGUCGAGCGGUAGCACAAGAGAGCUUGCUCUCUGGGUGACGAGCGGCGGACGGGUGAGUAAUGUCUGGGAAACUGCCUGAUGGCGGGGGAUAACUAGUGGAAACGGUAGCUAAUACCGCAUAACGUCGCAAGACCAAAGUGGGGGACCUUCGGGCCUCACGCCAUCAGAUGUGCCCAGGUGGGAUUAGCUGGUAGGUGGGGUAACGGCUCACCUAGGCGACGAUCCCUAGCUGGUCUGAGAGGAUGACCAGCCACACUGGAACUGAGACACGGUCCAGACUCCUACGGGAGGCAGCAGUGGGGAAUAUUGCACAAUGGGCGCAAGCCUGAUGCAGCCAUGCCGCGUGUGUGAAGAAGGCCUUCGGGUUGUAAAGCACUUUCAGCGAGGAGAAAGGGUAAUGUGUUAAUAAGACAUUGCAUUGACGUUACUCGCAGAAGAAGCACCGGCUAACUCCGUGCCAGCAGCCGCGGUAAUACGGAGGGUGCAAGCGUUAAUCGGAAUUACUGGGCGUAAAGCGCACGCAGGCGGUUUGUUAAGUCAGAUGUGAAAUCCCCGCGCUCAACGUAGGAACGGCAUUUGAGACUGGCAAGCUAGAGUCUUGUAGAGGGGGGUAGAAUUCCAGGUGUAGCGGUGAAAUGCGUAGAGAUCUGGAGGAAUACCGGUGGCGAAGGCGGCCCCCUGGACAAAGACUGACGCUCAGGUGCGAAAGC